UAGCAUCCUAGCUUUUCAUGUCUGGAAGGAUUAAUAGACUCUAAUCUUACCACUCCUUUAAAAGUAUUUAUUUAAGUUUUAUUGAACAGCGCCCCCUCCUUUUUUUUCUUAGCACUCACGGGAAUUAGUCUCUACAGACCUCUGAAAGACUGCCUUCUAACCCAAAGAACAGUUACAGGAAAAUAACUAUCCCCACCCCAACCCUGACAAACCAGGAAGUGUUCUUUUAACCCCAGGCAUCACAAAAGCUCUUGUGAAUGACAACCCCCUCACCCAGUUAAGAACACGGGCUCUGAAGGAGGAAGGCAAAUCCAGGUUUGGAUGCCAGUUGGAGGUGGAGAAGUCACUUAGCCUCUCCCAGCCUUCGUCUUCCCAGUUCUGGUCCUUGGUGGCUUAGAGACACAGUACAGCUGUUUGGAACCUGUCCUUGGACCUGCUGGGUGUCCGGUCACCAAGCUUCAUGUUCAUGACUGGAAAGAAAACCUAGAGGGCUUCAUGAAGACUUCCAUCAAGUGCCCACCUGCCAACAGUAAUCCUGGUUUAUUUGCUGUGAGUUGUGAGGUGUGCUGUACAGCCAAAGGUUUGGAACUUACUCAAGUGACCGUGGUUGAUCCCAGCCUCCAGGUGGUCUAUGACACAUUUGUGAAACCAGAUGAAGAAGUCAUUGACUAUAACACCAGCUAAUUCCUACUUCAGUUGUGGACACGGCAAUUCUAUUUCCUUGUGGGCGAGGCUUGUCUAGUGGCUGACCACCUGCAGAGAAUCAUUCAGGACUGUGGUAAGAGCCUGUUCACUCAUGAUUAAUCUCAGGAUCCUAAGUCUGACUUGAGUAAACAAACCAUGGGAUUCGUGGUAAAAGCUUUGCUUCCUGAAAUGCUUAAGGUAGGUUUUUCUUUACGGAUUCCCUGCUAGGGUGGAGAACCCUAAAGCAUCUGCAUACGGAGACACCACUCAAAUGCCCCCCUGCCUGGUGUCGUCCUGGCUCUUCCACAGGCAUCAGAACAGCCAGGCCACAGAGAAUGGUGGCCAGGUCGCUGUUCAGCAAGUUGCCUGGUCUUGGAGUUCAUGUAUAAAACUUCGGUUGGUGGGGAGGUCUAAUUCCAGUCCAAAUUUUGCUGGGUACCUCUUUUCAUAUCAGCUUUUCAUUAAAUGAGAUUCCAAAUGUACUGGGGUCAGGUCAUCUCACCCAGAGUAAAUUGUGCGUGUUGUGUUGGAAAAACUAUUGUUCAAAUUCAAUAGAUUUCAUCAUAUAUGCAUGUGAUUUGUACUGGCUUGGUGUGUAUCUUGCUCUCAUAACAUCUUGUUUUUUUCUGAUAA